rnacentral:lncRNA from 1 species
UUUUUUAAAUUCCACGUGUCUCAUUUUGAUUGGUCAUUCAUUAAACCUGACCCAAAAUUAUUUUUACCCGUCCCUAUCCGACGCUCCGACCCAGCCUGACUGACUCGACCCAUCAGAGCCAUCGGGAAUGGAAUCUCAUCAAACUCGAACGCUCUACCUGAGCAGACCUCUCUAGCAAUGGAUUCUUGUUGAACACAACAGUGAUUGGAGACCAACUCAGCAAACCAUCUGAGGCAGUCCGUAGAUUCAGUUUGCAACGCAUCAUUCAUUUCUCCAUUUGCACCUCAGCAGCAAGCCUCAUGGCUUCUUCAUUCGAUUUAUUAGAUUCUUUUAAUGUAUGUUUAGAUGCCCCACAUUGCGCUUCAGAUUCAAAAAUUGCUGCAGCCUCUAAACCUAUCUCAGUGGUCGCAAUCCUCAGCACAGCCCGACGAAGAGAAGGUGCCGAUGGAGCCCCUUCUUCAUCUAACGACAAGUUC